UCCUGCCAAGAGCAUAACAACAGUCUGCCUGUCUGCUUCACAGAAAUGUUACACUAACUCUUUCCAUAUUUCUUCUCACGCAUUAUCAGAUACCGUCACCUUGUAAUAUUUUCUGCAGCGCUGUUUUCACUUUAACAGUUCUCCGAUUGCAGACUAUGGCAUCACUUGAGACAAAUGGUGUACUAAAAUCACGCCCUUCUUGCUAAUUCCCGAAGAGUAUUUGGCUUUAUGGUUAGCCCAAUGCUAACUUAGCAACAUCAAACUGUUAAAUGCCAGUAUUCCUAACUACAUACAGCUGAAAAAGCCUUGCAAUGAGCAUUUUCGGCAUCUAAGGCUUUAUGGAAAAUCAAUUAUCCUACUAAUUUUACACAAACCGAAUCAGGUCGCUCUGGACGAGCGUAAACUGACCCGAUGUCACACGUUACAACGGUAAGCAACGGCAGUUAGGUUCUUGGAGACAGAUGUUUCACUUUCCACUAGACAGAAGGCAGGAGGCAGUUCGCGCAGAUCACAAACAAGCACAUGAUGUGAAAACAAGUCUGUAAAUAGCAGCUUGGCUGAGAACAUUUCACAUCCCAGAGGGCUUGAGUUACAGCACUGGCUUUUAGAGAUGGUAAUAACAGACAUUUUCGUCCCCGUGACAUGCUGGGAGAUCUUUGGAUCUGACGUCUCAUCUGAAGCCAGGCCGCACGCCUGUCAGCAUAAAUCUCUAAUUAUGAUCGAAAGCAUUCCCGCUUUUCAAAACAAGCUCUGUUUACAACAAGCUAGAUGAAGGAGAUCUCAUGAUCGCUUACUGCCAGGUUGAUGAUCGGGAAACAGAACAUUGAUGUUUUACGCCAUUAUCAGCUGACAGCCAUCAAUGACACGCUGAAAAUGGCCGUUCAAAGACAAGAGUGCUUUUUCACAUCUCAUGAGCCAGAUUACCCGGCAGGCAAACGAAAGGAGGGAGGCGUAGCGCUUUCUGUUCGCUGGUAACCCAACGUAACCCAGGUGACAAAAUCUGCAUAGUGACCACAUGAAAACAGGUGAAGCUGUUACCAAGCAUUUCUGUUUUGGUUACUGGAGUACAAAGAAUUAGCAUGAUUGAUUGUGAGAUCUUCUUUAUUCGUUCCUUCUCCUCCCCUGGUCUCUAUAUAGACGCUGUGGGUAUCUGCGAGUGAAAUGUCAGCUUGUUUUGAAAGCCGAUGCUUUCACCCUCUGACAUUCAAACUCCUCCACCCCCCCCACCACCACCUCGUCGCUGAUUAUACGCUCUGGAUGAUAAGAGAUCCAGGACAACGUUAAAGAAAAAAAGCUAAACUAAAACUGUGACUUUCUUAGAUUCGUUUACCAUUCAAAGAACUUGAUUGUUGCAUGCCUUGUUUGGUCAAUCGGCACUUCAAAGAAAAAAAAAAUUCUCCGAAAAGCCAUAGAAUUCAUCAGAGCGUAAUGACUGGCAUCGUGAUGAUUGGUUCCACCUUUAACAACCGUGAAGCCUUUCUAUUGGACAAAAUGUUUCUUUUACGAACUGUCCGUUGAAAGGUUCUUUGGGAACCCAAAGUUAUUUAUUCUCUAGAGUGUACUGGGCUUUCUAAAAUCCAACUAACGGACAACUGUCGCAUAAAACAGGAAUAAUGUUUAAUUCACGAAAUCCAAAAGCAGAACCAUGUCCAAAACUAUCCGAUAUCGUUAAAUUAAUCCCUGACUACAGCUGACCCCAGGAUGAUGGUCCGGAUAUGUUUAAAGGCUGAGAUUCAGGUUAAUCUUUAGAGCAGUAAUUAUUGGCUCUGGUGAGUGUUUUGGAGAAGGACCAGGAAACAGUCAAAACCAAAACAGGAUACUGCGAGUCUUCCAGGAAAACAGUUAUCAUUUGGCUACAAAGAGGCUCGAAAGGUGAGGUCCGACCUUCAACUCGCAGUGAAUGUGUUGCGGACCAAUCGCUGACCGGGAGAAAUGGCAGAGACUUAGUGCCGCUGCGAUCUUCAGCGAAGUGUUUCUCUUUUGAGUGUGGCAGGUCUGGGUGGAGUCCAAGCAAAACAACAAAAACAAGAAACGGGACUUUGCAUGAAAUACCUUUGCAGGACUUUUGGAGCGAGACUUAUGUAAGAGCUGAUAAUGGAAACAACCCUGGGCCAAGAGAUUAAAGUAUCAGGAACCGGACACCAGAUCAUUACACAGCGAUGGGUGAAGAUCAGUCUCCGUGAGAGAAGUGUACAACCUCCAGAGAGAAACCUCUACACAACGCAGUCGAUAUCUUAUUGGGUUUAAGUACAAAGCACUGGGCUUGAAUUUUCAGUAGUAAGUAGUAAGUUCAGCAGGUUUGUAUAAAUCAUUCUAGAUAGCAUAGGCCAGGGGCUUUAAGCUGAUUUUGCUCCAAGAUCCAGACCAUUUUAUCCUAAUUGUACGUUAUAAUUUAUUAUUUCCAUUCGCUGAAGUUGAGAGCCACUGCGAUACGGGAACUUAAUCAAGCUGGGCUUUAGCCUGCUUUAAAGCUGAAUCUCAUUAUGAGAACAGAAACCACAGUAGUAAGAGGCAACACUUGCAAUUUGGUUCAGGAUUAGAUUUCAUAGCUCAUUCGUUCUUGUUGACAUGUGAUUACAUUCGCUGUGUGUUUGAUUGCAUUUUCUUAUAGGCUACAGUAGGUGUGGCGUUAGCAACCAUCUGAUUUGGUGAGGUCUGAAUCCGCUAAACUAGUCGGACAACCUGAACAUCUCACCUUUGAUCUUGCCACAGUUUCUGUCACACAUACCUUUGUGUAUUUUCUCAAACGGAGGCGUUACGAACCCUCCAGGGCUAAACAAACGACAAAAAUAUAUUCCCUUUUCCAUAUGGAUGCUUCGCCCUGAUAGACGAAUAACAAAUAUUUGACAAAGCCAGAGUUUUUUAGAGCAGUCAUCAUUCAGGACUGCGAAACCCCUUCGGCAUGAUUUCUCAGACCAGCUGAAAACACACGUAGGACAGGCGGUUCCGAUGGGCCAGUGGGAACAGACAGUGUUUUAUUCCAUGGACAGCAUCGGCCUGCUGAUCUAUUAAAAGCUCCAUUGUAUCUUUUCCUCCCCGACGCUCUUGUACAUCCAGGAAAUGCUUGUUUAUUGUGUCAGGUAAUCAGCUCAGAGCUGGAUUGAGAGAUUCUCUGUCGCAGAGGGCAAUGCCAGUAAACUGCUUCUGACUUCGGCUUCAUUCAUACCUUGUUUAGUAGUACUUUUUUAAAAAGAGCGUGACUUGUUGAGAAGGCCAGAAAUACCCUAGCGGUGUCCUAAAAGCUAAGCAACACACCCUGUUUAUCACCCACAACAUCCUAGUAACAUCCCUAAGAACCAAGCCAGAAAACCUUAGCAAUCAAAGACACAGAAGAAAUUUCAGAAGAAAGUAAUUUUUUUCCACUAUUUUUUGUUUUCUUUGUGCACAAAAGUAUUCUUAUCAAAUUAAAACUGAAACACAGUACAUAACACGGGCUGUGAGCAGUGACAGAAUUUUCAUUUUUGGUUAAAUAUCCCUUUAAGGCUGUGUCCUAAGAUCUUUCUCAUGUUAAUCAGAGUAACAUUAGUUGCGACAUAUUUAUAGUUUUUAUUUCCGUGGCGGAACAACAACACGCAAACUACAUGACAGCAGAUAGUCUCAGGUGAUUUUGUGCUUUAUUAAAAGCGAGUCUAAAAUGAGUUUAAAGUCCACAUCAAAACAAAAUUGGCUAUAUUUAUUUUGUUAGCUUCACAUGGCUGUAUUUGUGGAGAAACUUUCAUCCGUGCAAAUCAAUCCAUGUCGAUUAUAUGACUGAAACGCCUACUAAAAAGUAGAAAAAAACAAGUGAUGCCCUCUAGUUUCCUCAUUCGAUAUUCCGUUUCUCUCCGAAGUGCGUCACGGUACGUAUAAGUAAAAUGUCACAAUAAGUAAAAUCGGUCACGAACAUCUAGUUGUCACACAUUUAAUGGUGUUAAUGUUUGUUGUGAGACGCACGCUUCCGGUGAGAGCCUGCCUGCACGCACUUCUCAUUGGCUGUGAUUUUGAUUGAUUCUGUGAGCUGUGGACUGUCGUGUUUCUGAUAUGAAAUCCCGUCCCAGUCUCCGUCAGUCGGGCUGCUAAGCGACACAGAAAUGUCCCAGUCCAGCCCAAUGAACUUUCAGCAGCGACGCUAAGUUCAGACCGUUCCUCGUGCGCACUCACCUGAUUAUAUUCUGUCCUCGCUGACGCAUACGGAGGUACAUCGGUUGCUACGCACUUCGGUAAAAGACAUUCUGUUACCUUCUGACCCCUGACCCCUGGCGGACGGCUAGGGACGCUGGCGUGUGUCUGGCGCCGAGCAGAGGUUCUGUGUACACGCGUCAGGGGUUUUGUUGUGUACGACAUUAAGCUGAUUGGCACUAAUACUUUGUGUUCUGGCUUUGAGUUUCCAUUGCAGCGUUCCCCACAGGACAGCUGAUUACACAUGCCUGUGUGGCAUCUGAUUAACCUCCAAGAGCACAGCGCUCCACUUCCUAUUACUCUCAGUUCAUCCAUAAAGUCGUACCUUACAGAAUUUGCUCUAUUUACUGCGAUAGUUCACCCAAAAACUACAAUUCUGUCAUUAAUUGCUCACCCUCGUGUCGUUCCAAACAAGCAAGACCUUCUGAACUCAAAUGAAGAUAUUGUUGAUGAAGUCUGAGAGCAUAGAGAGCAAGGGAGCUGACGUUUUAGAGGCCCAGAACAUUGUUAAAGUAGUCCGUGUGACAUAAGUGGAUCAACUGUAAUUUUACAAAGCUACGGGAAAAAAACGAAAAUACUUUUUGCACGCAUGAGUAAUUAAUGUUCAUUUAUGUCGUUUAUAUUUUUGAGUGAACUAUCCCUUUGUAUUUAGACAGGCUAAGACUUCAUCUAGACUUUUUAGAGACCAUUUUAAACUUAUUAUUAUUAUUAAAAUUAUUAUUGUUAUU